UCCCACAUCAGGGCAACUUGGUGUUGUGAGUGUUACGGUGUACCGAACAUGAGGGUGAGGAGGGAGGCGAAGAGGAGAGCUAAAGGGGUGGAGGUUGGUGGGUACACUUAAGCUCAAUAUGAAUGCCGAGGUAAAUGCAAGUUGAAGAAGUGUGAAUGUCCUACGAUGUUUUAUGCUAGUUUGAACGCGGAAGGUGGGUGGAGCAUAAUCAGAAUACGAGUUUAAUGAAGUCAAAGCUAGUGGAAGAGGAUAAGUUGGGAGGGUUUGCAAAAAUUUGGAAAAGGAAGCUAUCUACGGAGUAAUGGUUUAAGUUAUAGGAGUUUGAGAAUGAGGAGGGAUGGUGUUGUAAAUAUGUCAAUGAAGGAUAAGAAUCUACCUCAUGUAGUAGAGCAUGAGAGAAGGCUGAUAAUGAUGGAUUGUUUUUUGAAAGAAUGCAAUGAGACAACCAAACUUUUUUCCUUGCUCAUAGAAUGAAUUUGGAGUGUUGCAGGAUGUUUUGUGGGUUGAUGAGGAGUAAAGCAGCAUAUGAAGAGCUUGGGAUGUUGUUUCCUUUGGUACAACUUACUUAGUUUAGAGUAUGAGUUGCCCACUUGCCGCUUGCAAAUUUUGUUGGUGUUAGCCAUCAUGGACAGUUAGUCUUGUUGGGAUGUGCUUUAGUUUCACAUGAUGAUGCAGGAUGUAUACUUGGGUUUUCCAGCAAUGGUUGGUUUGCAUGGAGGAAAAUCCUCUAAUACUAUUUUGACUGAUGAUUCGGCAGCAAGGAGGAAGGUGAUAAAGAUAUUUCCAAACUUUCUCCAAGGCAAUGGUGAUGAAAGAGUUGUAGAUAUUCAAAUCUCAGUAAAUGAAUGGCUAGGCAAGAGGAGUGUGAGUAGUAUGGGUGACAAUGAUCGAUGUAGAUGAGGUGCAGUCUGUUAUCAAUAGUUUUUAUGGAAAAUAAUGUGCAAUCGCAGAUGGCACCAUCAAGCCCAAUGCAAAGAGCAAGGCUUCCAGCAGUCCGUAGAGAUAGUUUGACACAUAACAUGUUGGAUAAAUUACAUCCAUGCUCGCUGGAAGCUGUGGAGGGUGUACUGUAGGCUGUAGCCAUGGAUAAUGUGCGCCAACAAUUAGAGAAAGUGGAACUCUGGAAAUCAUCUGUCAUACUACCUGAAGAUGGUGCAAACUGCUAAGGGUGACGAAAGUUCUGAACUGUAUUACCCUUCUGAAGAUUGUGCAAGCUGCUAAGGGUGACAAAAGUUCUCCCCUCUGGACUUUGGAAAUUCUGAACUGUCCUAAGGGUGACGAAAAUACAUUGCUGCAUGUCAUGAGUUUAUUUUACUAGUACUGUAGUACAAUUUUUGUCUGAGGCCGUAUUUAGUGCUGAGCUGAAUGAUAAAAAAGUUCCGCCACUUCUGGAGGCCUUCUGAUGUCACCUUUAACACAUACUAGGGUGACACUGUGCUGGAUCAGAAAUGAAACUGUGCAAAGAUGUUCAGCUUCUGUUUGGCUCAUUGGUGUCAAAUGUCAGGAGUGAUGAACAAGAACCAGUGCUUUCUCCACAGGAAGAUGACUUCCUCUAUUGGGACCUGUUUUGUCUCGGGGAGGAAGAAGAACACAAAGCUUGUCAUAAUCAAGAUCAGCCCAGCGAACAGAAGGAAGAUUCCGUACUUGAGGUGACAAAGAGCCACAAGGAAGCAUUGCGCAAUCAGGGCAGUGAAAAUCAUGUUGACACCGACAACAAUACUCUGGCCAGCUGACCUUGUUUCCAACGGGAAGAGCUCGCUAGGUACUAGCCAACCUAGUGGACCCCACGACCUUCCAUAUGCCAACACAAAUAAGCAAAUCAAGAUAACAAGGAGGUAGCCGAUUCCAUUUGGCAGUGUCUUCCCAUCCCCAAAGUAGAGGCCAAGAAUGAUGCCAACGGUCACCUGAAAUGAAAAUAAACUUCAAGGUAGAAGGCUCUUCUUCCGAAUUUAUCUACCAAAGCCAUUGAAAUCAAUGCGGCAACCACAAGUGCUCCAUUGGUAAUCGUUGAUGAAUACAGAGAAGCAUUUGUGUUGAAUCCCAAACUCUGGAAGAAAACAGGAGCAUAAAAGAGAAUGGAGUUCAUGCCAGUAAGUUGUUGGAAUGCUGGGAGUGCUAUAGCUCCUAUGAUCAGCUGUGGACGGUUCUUCCUCUGGAGAAGGUUCCGGAAAGGAUGCUUGAUAGCCCUUGCUGCCUCACUUGCAUCGACAAGAUCAGCAAACUCUGCACCAACAUUCGUGGUACCUCUGACCUUUUCCAACACUCUCCUUCCUUCUUCUAGCUUCCCUUGUUCCACCAGACUGUUUGGGGUUUCUGGAAGGAAGAGCCCCCCAACAAACAUCACAGUUGCAGGUGCCAUUUCCGAAAGAUAUAGAGGAACUGCCUGAAAGAUUAAACAGAAAGCAGCAAAAAGAAGAUUAUUGGAGAGCACUAAAAGCCUACAAAUUUAGUAGAAUGUGCGCACACAACACGGUAUCACCCAGUUUGGAUCUUGCCAUUGCCAUUGCCGUUCAAUUAUUAGUGUUAGACUGGUAUUGAUUCCCAAUAGCCUGCAUAGUUCUUAUAUGAAAGUAAGGACUGAAAACAAAAUAGUGGAAGUUGGGACUUACUUGGUUUCCAAAUCCAAUGCCGAAACCAAGAAAGAUUCUCCCAACAAUGAGCAUGGCAACAUUUUGGGCGAAGGCAUUGAUGACUCCUCCAACAAAGAAACUGGCACCUCCUACUAGAAUACUAGCUCUUCUUCCCUUGUUUCGAGUCACAACUGAAGCCCCAAAUGUUGACACCAGAGCCGCAUAGUACAGGGAAGAUGUGAAGAGAGUCAGAAUUUGAUCAUCGUACUUGCAGUAAUCUGUCUCAAGCAAGUGUGCAUGCUUCCUUCUGUAAACCUUUGGGAAGAAUUUCAACAAAAAGUCGUCCAUUGAAGUCACCCCACCUAUAACAAUGUUUUGAUAACCGGCCGAGCAAUGAUAAAUCUAUCUCUGACAUCGGACUAAUGAUCCAAUCUCGGGGUUUGGAAGUUCACUGAAAGAGAAGGGACAUUUUUGUCCUCAUUUUGUCUGAGAUUUGUCUCUUUUUGCUCUGUUUUUUCAGGAACCAGCCAAAAAAAGUUGUAAAGUAUGAACCACCAAUGAAGAGAGGAAGAAAAAACGGGGAAAUGGGGAGAACAGAACCGGAGAAGAAGAAGAAGAAGAAGAAGAAGAAGAAGAAAACUGACCAGAAACACCAAGAUCAUAACCAAAGAGAGCCCCUCCACUCGCCGCAACGAUGCAAGCGAAAAUAAAAUAAGGUGUGAUCUUAUACUCAUACUGAGCUGCCCUCCCUGCUGCUGCUCCAUUAACAAAUGCACCCCCUGCCAUUUUCUCUGAUCACCUUCUUCUUCCACAAAAUCAACCCGAAAACACUCGAAUAAAAUUAAAUAAAUAAAUUUGUUUGUAUGUA